AUGGCUUCCGGGAGAAAUGCACCUCUUAUUUUAUAUGUAGUAGGGAUGCAUGUGUGUCCCUCUAGGCGAUGGAUAAGAGCGAGAGAUAGUGCCCCGACAAACUUCAAUCUUCAGGAAUCUAUCAAAUCUUUGCUUUGUUUAUGUGGGCAUUGUCUCUCUGUGGAUAAUUGGCUGGCCUUUGUGUACCAGUCUUUGCUCUUCGGCCAUACAGGUCUUUAUGCGAUUAGCCUUCAGAGCUUCUUCUGUCUUCAAGAAUCCUUGUGCCAGUGUAUGCGUACAUACAUGCCAAAGCUGCUUAAAUUUUCAAACAUUGCUUAUUCAUUUUUUUAA
rnacentral:rRNA from 1 species